AAAUAGAACUUUGCAGAGAGAGUUAAGAGGGCGUGAACCGUUAAUUGGCAAACGAAUCGGAGCCACGAAGUCGUUUCGUUGUAGUUGGGUCCAGUUCAGCGUAUGAGGACCCCCUCAUGCGUGUACUCUGGGUCUGGCCACUCUGUAAGCGUACACUGCAACCAGUUAGACGAUUGGCGAUGGGCCCAGUUGUGGAGGCAAGCUUCGGUUUGUCUUUAUAACGAUCGGCUUGUCUGUUGGAGUUAGUAGUAGUGAGGCGGGAUUUAUUCUGUCUUGCUGCUGGGCUUCAGCAGGUGAACUAUCACCAAAAACUGACUGGCAAAAUGAAAAUCGCCUCACGGCGUUUCCAUAGAACGCGGCGCUUGCAUUGGUGUUUACACAACUGACCGUGGGGUUUAAGCUCAGCAUUCUUGAAUUUAGACUUGCUGGCUACCAGUGGGGCAACUCCUGGUGCCAGUAUAGCUUCUAUCUAAUCGGGUGUUGACUUGAUUCUACGUCGUUCAGGUGUGCUACGAUAGAGCGCCAAUGUAAUGUAGCUCGCAAUCUUAUUGGCAGUGAGUAGGUCGGCUUUCCGAACGACCCGUCUUGAAACACGGACCAAGGAGUCUAAUUAGGCAUCAGUCGAUCGGUCUUGAUAGGCCAGACAGUGGAAUUCGUUCCAUAGAUUGAAGGCGUAGAGAAAUCAAAUCAUGUGAUCGCUUGGGCAAUACCAGCCCUUGCGCGCAACAUGUGCCUGUUCGUAUAGCAAUGUUAGCAAUAACUUGCUGGGCGGAGCAAAGAGAUGCCUGAUUGGUACCCGAAAGAUGGUGAACUAUGCUUGGGCAAAUUGAAGCCAGAGGAAACUCUGGUGGAGGAUUGUAGCGAUUCUGACGUGCAAAUCGAUCGUCAGACCUGAGUAUAGGGGCGAAAGACUAAUCGAACCAUC
rnacentral:rRNA from 1 species